rnacentral:rRNA from 1 species
UACGUAGGGCGCAAGCGUUGUCCGGAAUUAUUGGGCGUAAAGAGCUCGUAGGCGGCUUGUCACGUCGGGUGUGAAGCCCGGGGCUUAACCCCGGGUCUGCAUUCGAUACGGGCAGGCUAGAGUGUGGUAGGGGAGAUCGGAAUUCCUGGUGUAGCGGUGAAAUGCGCAGAUAUCAGGAGGAACACCGGUGGCGAAGGCGGGUCUCUGGGCAGUAACUGACGCUGAGGAGCGAAAGCAUGGGGAGCGAACAGG